AACGCACAUUGCGCCCUCCGGCAUUCCGGAGGGCAUGUCCGACCGAGCGUCACUAACACCGCUCGAGCCCGCCCCUCGGGGGUCGCGGCUCGGUGUUGGGGACCCGCGGCGGGGGCCGGCGCCUCGCGCGCCCGGCCAUCACCCGCGGCCCCGAAAAGCAGUGGCGGCCCAGCCCCGGCAAGCCCCCAGCGGAGUAGAACAACACCUCGCUCGGGCGCCUGGCGGACCUGCCUCAACCUCGAGAAUAACCUUCUCACAACGGUUGGCCUCGGGUCGGACAAGAUUACCCGCUGAACUUAA
rnacentral:misc_RNA from 1 species